UUGCCCCUGCUGUGUUCGUGAUUGGUAGAAUGUUUCUGAGCCAACAUAUACUGAAAGGGAGCCCUUCCUUACUCUGGUGUGCAUAUCAGCUUCGGCUGGAAGCCUAAAGGAGUUAUAGGGCGCCCACCUGAACCUAAGGUUCUAAGACCACCUGUCAACACGGCACGAAGCGGGGGCAAC
rnacentral:other from 1 species